UGGCUCAGCGGUUAAGAGCACUGGCUGCUCUUCCAGAGGACCUGGGUUCAAUUCCCAG
rfam:Neotoma lepida isolate 417 scaffold_73, whole genome shotgun sequence.